UACGGGGGGGCAAGGCGUUGUUCGGAAUUACUGGGCGUAAAGGGCUCGUAGGUGGCCAACUAAGUCAGACGUGAAAUCCCUCGGCUUAACCGGGGAACUGCAUCUGAUACUGGAUGGCUUGAGUUUGGGAGAGGGAUGCGGAAUUCCAGGUGGUAGCGGUGAAAUGGCGUAGAUAUCUGGAAGGAACACCGGUGGCGAAGGCGGCAUCCUGGACCAACACUGACACUGAGGAGCGAAAGCCAGGGAGCA
rnacentral:rRNA from 1 species